AUUGAACGCUGGCGGCAUGCUUUACACAUGCAAGUCGAACGGUAACAGGCCGCAAGGUGCUGACGAGUGGCGAACGGGUGAGUAAUGUAUCGGAACGUGCCCAGUCGUGGGGGAUAACGCAGCGAAAGCUGUGCUAAUACCGUAUACGAUCUAUGGACGAAAGCGGGGGACCGUAAGGCAUCGCACGAUUGGAGCGGCCGAUAUCAGAGUAGGUAGUUGGUGGGGUAAAGGCUCCCCAAGCCGACGAUCUGUAGCUGGUCUGAGCGGACGACCAGCCACACUGGGACUGAGACACGGCCCAGACUCCUACGGGAGGCAGCAGUGGGGAAUUUUGGACAAUGGGCGCAAGCCUGAUCCAGCAAUGCCGCGUGCAGGACGAAGGCCUUCGGGUUGUAAACUGCUUUUGUACGGAGCGAAACGGCUCUCUCUAAUAAAGGGAGCUAAUGACGGUACCGUAAGAAUAAGCACCGGCUAACUACGUGCCAGCCGCCGCGGUAAUAC
rnacentral:rRNA from 1 species